rnacentral:piRNA from 1 species
UUGCUGGGAAUUGAACUCAGGAUCUCUGGU